UUUAGUGUUUGGAAAAAAAGC
rnacentral:piRNA from 1 species